rnacentral:rRNA from 1 species
UACGUAGGGUGCAGGCGUUAAUCGGAAUUACUGGGCGUAAAGCGUGCGUAGGCGGUUUGUUAAGACAGGUGUGAAAUCCCCGGGCUUAACCUGGGAACUGCAUUGGUGACUGCAUCGCUCGAGUAUGGCAGAGGGGGGUAGAAUUCCACGUGUAGCAGUGAAAUGCGUAGAUAUCUGGAGGAAUACCGGUGGCGAAGGCGGCAUCCUGGACCGGCAUUGACGCUGAGGAGCGAAAGCCAGGGGAGCAAACGGG